UAUCUACAAUGUUCAAUCCCAACUUUUCUGAGUCCUAGUACGCAAGGAAUGGUCUCAGCGAUGCUCGACUAUAUUGGCCCCAUCGACGUAAUCAACUUCUGGCUGCUGCAAAGAAGGAGAACAAAAGGUUUCGGGAUUAACAAGGUGCC
rnacentral:rRNA from 1 species